UACGGGGGGGGCAAGCGUUGUUCGGAAUUACUGGGCGUAAAGGGCUCGUAGGUUGCCAACUAAGUCAGACGUGAAAUCCCUCGGCUUAACCGGGGAACUGCGUCUGAUACUGGAUGGCUUGAGUUCGGGAGAGGGAUGCGGAAUUCCAGGUGUAGCGGUGAAAUGCGUAGAUAUCUGAAGGAACACCGGUGGCGAAGGCGGCAUCCUGGACCGACACUGACACUGAGGAGCGAAAGCCAGGGGAGCAAACGGG
rnacentral:rRNA from 1 species